UACGUAGGGGGCAAGCGUUGUCCGGAUUUACUGGGCGUAAAGAGCGCGUAGGCGGAAGGUUAAGCGUGGCUUGAAAGCCCCCGGCUCAACCGGGGAGGGCGGCUGCGAACUGGCCUUCUUGAGGACGAUAGAGGAGAGCGGAAUUCCUGGUGUAGCGGUGAAAUGCGUAGAUAUCAGGAGGAACACCCGUGGCGAAGGCGGCUCUCUGGGUCGGACCUGACGCUGAGGCGCGAAAGCGUGGGGAGCGAACGGG
rnacentral:rRNA from 1 species